UCUUUAAAAAAUAAAAAUAAAAAAAUAAAAUUGGAACAAAACAGAGAAGAUUAGUCUGGCCCCUACGCAAGGAUGACACGCAAGACUUCUCUCAAGUUACCUGUUCUG